CAAGACUUGCGCUUUUGGAGCGGCCGAUGUCUGAUUAGCUAGUUGGUGAGGUAAAGGCUUACCAAGGGCGUCGAUCAGUAGCUGGUCUGAGAGGACGACCAGCCACACUGGGACUGAGACACGGCCCAGACUCCUACGGGAGGCAGCAGUGGGGAAUUUUGGACAAUGGGGGAAACCCUGAUCCAGCCAUGCCGCGUGAGUGAAGAAGGCCUUCGGGUUGUAAAGCUCUUUCAGCCGGAACGAAACGGUCACGGCUAAUAUCCGUGACAACUGACGGUACCGGAAGGAGAAGCACCGGCUAACUACGUGCCAGCAGCCGCGGUAAUACGUAGGGUGCGAGCGUUAAUCGGAAUUACUGGGCGUAAAGCGUGCGCAGGCGGUUUUGUAAGUCAGAUGUGAAAUCCCCGGGCUUAACCUGGGAACU
rnacentral:rRNA from 1 species